GAUGAACGCUGGCGGUAUGCCUUACACAUGCAAGUCGUACGAGAGUUUUUAACUCAAGUGGCGGACGGGUGAGUAACACGUAAGAAUUUACCUUUAGGAGGGGGAUAACAACUGGAAACGGUUGCUAAUACCCCAUAUGCUUUCGAGUGAAAUGGGUUUCCGCCUAAAGAAAAGCUUGCGUCCGAUUAGCUUGUUGGUAAGGUAACGGCUUACCAAGGCAAUGAUCGGUAGCUGGUCUGAGAGGAUGGUCAGCCACACUGGGACUGAGACACGGCCCAGACCCCUACGGGGGGCAGCAACUAGGAAUCUUGCGCAAUGGACGAAAGUCUGACGCAGCGACACCGCGUGCCGGAUGAAGGUCUUCGGAUCGUAAACGGCUUUUCUGGAGGAAGAUUAUGACGGUACUCCAGGAAUAAGGGUUUGCUAACUCCGUGCCAGCAGCCGCCGCAGUAA
rnacentral:rRNA from 1 species